rnacentral:lncRNA from 1 species
AGAUGACCCUCCUCAUUUCAGUGUUUGAACCCGUAAAUUUUAAAUAUCCUUGUAUGGCUAUAAUCAACAUUAAAUAAGCUUUUUUUCAAAAGAAAGCCUCAUUUUCCAUUAAGCAGAUUUUAUUUCCAUAUCUCAUGAUAGCUUAAUGAGGGAGUAUAACAGUUGUGCUUAUUGUAAAUGGAAUCACAAAGGAGGGGUGUUUGGAUACAUAUCUGCCUGAACCUGAAGCCAGAACACUAUCCAGCCUCAGAUGCAGCUCAGAAUUUAGGUGAUGCUUCGGUGCUCAUGACACACAGCUCUGCUGAGCCUGGCAGCCUCAGGUGAAGGUGCUUCACCACAUACCAGAGGGGAUUUAGCUUGGUCUCAUGGAUCCAGCUGGAGAAGGAUCUGAUAUGUCUGUGGAUCGUGAACAGCAGAAAAUUAACUACAUGCAGGAGGUAUCGAGUUUGAGAAAAGAGUGCAGCAUUCACAGGAAGGUUAUCUUCAUACCAGCUCUUUCACUAGGAAGGUCAGAGGAAGAAGACUGCUUGUUCAAGCUAAUCAGGAAAUGUUCUAAUCAUCAAGAGGAAUAUCUGAAAUGUAAAGUGCACAGCAUACUUCAUGUGAUAGCAAACUGCAGCAUAUGGAUUGCAUUUAAUCAGAAGCAGUAUUCAUCUGCUAGACUCAAUGCCUGA